AUUCGGCCCACCCAGGCCCGAGGGCGACCCCCCCGAAUCACGUGACCUUCAAAAGGACCGUUGUGGCUCCCGCUCCUCGCGAGACUUGACAUGUGGCUUCCCCGCGUGGUGAAGGAGCCCCGCGCGCCCGCUUCGCUUAGAGUCGGCUGCGGUUGAGAGUGCCCUCAAGGACGACCGGGUAGGCCUCACAUUCCCUCCGUUUUGGCAGGUUCGUCCCCGGAACCGCUGGGCUCCUCCGUUCUUCUGACCCGAGAAAUGUGAUGAAGCAAAGAUAAGCUCCGACGACCUUCUAGCGGACGGCGCCGAGGGCUUGAGAGCAAUCAGUAUGCCUCACUGGAUCCCAUAUUAAAUGGAUAUGACAAGACAAACGGAAGAGUGAUCGUUUUCCAAUAUGAAAUUAAUUUUAAACAAAUACUUUAGUUUGAUGUUGAUGUAAUUCUAAAUUAAAAACAUAUAUAGGACAAUUACCACUUCAGCAUUUUCCUAAGGAUAUUUUUCACCAUAUUUUUUUCUCAGAUUUCCGGGAAAGGGUAACUUUUUUUCAGUUAGCUUGUUUUCUUGUUUCUGCAUGAAGAUUGGGCGAGGAAAGCAGACUUGCCAUGAUAGAUAACAUGGUUAUACAAAGAUUAUUUUCCUACAUCUUUGUAAAAUCCAAUCUCACAACCAUGGUUGACUUUUGUGUAUGUAUACCUGUUUUUAAUGUUAUUGUAAGCCUUAGCACUGAAUCAAAUUGAAGUCUUUACUAAUGAACUGUCAUUUAUUUAUACUAUGUGGGAGAUUGAAUACCAGCCUGUAUAUUUUUGAAUUCCAUUAAAUUUCAUUUCUUGUUUUA